GAUGAACGCUGGCGGCGUGCCUAAUACAUGCAAGUCGAGCGGUAAGGCCCUUCGGGGUACACGAGCGGCGGACGGCUGAGUAACACGUAGGAACGUACCCCAAACUGAGGGAUAAGCACCAGAAAUGGUGUCUAAUACCGCAUGUGGCCCACGGGCUAAAGCUCCGGCGGUUUGGGAACGGCCUGCGUCCGAUUAGCUAGUUGGUGAGGUAAUUGCUCACCAAGGCGACGAUCGGUAGCUGGUCUGAGAGGAUGAUCAGCCAGACUGGGACUGAGACACGGCCCAGACUCCUACGGGAGGCAGCAGUAGGGAAUUUUCCACAAUGGGGGCAACCCUGAUGGAGCAACGCCGCGUGCAGGAUGAAGGCCUUCGGGUUGUAAACUGCUUUUAUCUGUGACGAUUAUGACGGUAGCAGAUGAAUAAGGACCUGCUAACUACGUGCCAGCCGCCGCGGUAA
rnacentral:rRNA from 1 species